AGCGCUUAGAAGUGAGAAUGCCGGUGUGAGUAGCGAAAGACGGGUGAGAAUCCCGUCCACCGAUUGACUAAGGUUUCCAGAGGAAGGCUCGUCCGCUCUGGGUUAGUCGGGUCCUAAGCUGAGGCCGACAGGCGUAGGCGAUGGAUAACAGGUUGAUAUUCCUGUACCACCUAUAAUCGUUUUAAUCGAUGGGGGGACGCAGUAGGAUAGGCGAAGCGUGCGAUUGGAUUGCACGUCUAAGCAGUAAGGCUGAGUAUUAGGCAAAUCCGGUACUCGUUAAGGCUGAGCUGUGAUGGGGAGAAGACAUUG
rnacentral:rRNA from 1 species